AGUGGUGCGGCCUAUUCGGAUUAACGUAAUGAUGACACUAUCAACGGCGCGCGUCAGUCCGCCCCUCCUCCAGUUUGAAAUUGACCUUAGAAGACACCGUAGCGUAUGCUGGACCCGCAUGCAUCUGUCCACCUCUCCUCCGUUUUGAAGUUGACAUUUGAACGUCAUUUUCUGAAGUAUUCGGAACAACAGUGUAAGGUUUGACAAGGCGUUAACUACAGCAGCCUUUAACACCUCAACUCUUGCUUCAGCCAAGGUAAGUGCCCCCCUUAUAUUUUCUAUGUGUGUGUUCAGCUGAUAUCUAGAAAAUUGGUGUGUUUAGCGCUGGAUGCCAUUUUAUUCCAGAGCCGUUGUUUGUAAUUAAAACAAAGAGACAAAGAGGAACUUUACUGUUUGGAAGGGAGUAAAGUUCCUCUUUGUCUCUCAGUGGGACAUUUCAACCAUACAGUACAAGGCUACAUUUCAGCUUUACAAGCCAAUCAGUUUGCUAAUUGUUCUUGUGAGAUUUGUUUGCAAAGUUUAAGGUGUUAAAUAGGAGCUGUGACCAUCUGGGUCUGCUUGCUGCUGGCACUUUGCCAGAGCCCCAGCAACAAGACCGCCUCCCAGCUACGAGACUGCCUGUAAGCCUUGCAAGGUACCCAAUUUUCCAAUUACUCUAUAACAAAACUGUUGUGGGCAACAAGACUGUCUCCUAGGUGUGCAAGCCAAUCACUUUGCCAAAUGUUCUUGUAAGAUUUGUUUGGAAAGUUUAAGGUGUUAAGUAGGAGCUGUGAACAUCUGGGUUUGCUUGCUGCUGGCAUUCUACCAGCGCCCCAGCAACAACACUGCCUCCCAGCUUUGCAAGGUAAUUACUUUCCCAAUUACUGUACACCAAAAUGGAGUAGUUGUCGUGGUCAACAAAUCUGCCUCCCAACUUUCAAGGUAAUCACUUUCCCAAUUACAAUAUACAAACUGUUAUGGAACUUUACUUAACAAAGCCUUAAGACCGGGCAGUGACACUAUCAAUAUGUCUAUUUAAAGAAAAGAGAGAUUUAUUAUUAUUUUUUGGUUCUUGUAGUUAUCUUGUGUAUCAGAGGGUUAAAAUAAAAAAAUUGCUGGUAUACAUCAGAAUUUUUGAUUCAUUUACUGUUUGUCGAUUUACUGCAUUGUAAAGUCUUUUGGCUACCAAUGCAGCUACCUGGUUAUUAUGCUUGACUUAAAAUGAAAGCUGGGUCUGAUCACAUGCUUGAAAUGCCAACAAUUAAUAUUCUGUUUUUCUGCUGACAUUCUACCAGAUGCCGAGAAAAAAUAAAAGAUCCCAGGCACAAAAGAAGCGCUGGAAACCACUUGACCUGGUCGAUCCUGCUGUCCCAAUGCUCACUGGCCACAACCAAGAUGAGGCAGUCAGUAGUUUUCCAUCUGACCAGACAGCACCAGCCAGGUUGUCCUUGGUAACGGAGAAUAGACCCACCUCCUUAUGUCCUCCAGGCAGCAAGAUUUCAGACACUCGUCCACCAGCAAAACGAGUCUGGGCAACUGAUGAUUUCCACACGGCAUCAAAUUCUCCACCUAAAAAGCCUUUCCAUGACACAAAUGAAGACCUACUGACGGAGGAGCUACAGAGCAACACAGUUCAGCCGUUUUGGAGUGUCAGUGCAACUCAUUGUCAGAGUGAUGAGAGGAGAAGCGUUAUACACAGGAUCAUCUGACCAUGGAGGACCUGCCCAAAGAACUUCAUACUGACACAAAUGUCUACAGUGUGAAAAUGGAUGACAUAAGUUAUGGAUUUCUGGAAGCAGCAGAGAACAGUCCUCAAAGAACAGAGUGGUGGUUGCCUCUUGCUAUUCGCCUUGAAUGUCUGUCAACAGAUGUGAACUUUGCUUUGCUCAUGGUCUCACCUGAGUGCAUUGCGGUUUUCCGUGACAAAUCUGGGAGGUAUGGAUUAUUUGAUUCACAUUCAAGAAGUGCAGCGGGUUUACGUCAGCCAAAUGGAACAGCAGUCAUGCUCACUUUCACUCAUGUGAAUGACCUGAUCACCCACCUGCAUAACCUUUUUCAAAAUCAAGGCAAGCAUGCACGAUAUGAGUUUGUGCCUGUUUCUUUCAAAACAGUCAGCACUCACACGGAACCCCCUGGACAGUCAACUCAGGCAACACCAGGAGCUACAGCUACAUCAUCAACACAAAAUGAUGAACCACAAAUCACGAAUCCCACUGCGCAAAUGCCUGAACCAGAAUCAGCCAAAACCCACAUGACUAUGUUAGACAAUACUUUAAACUCACCAGAUGACAAAAUGGCUAAAACCCCCCGAACAGCAAGAAAUGUGAGCAAAUUAAAUAAACGACAACGUAAGAAAGCUAUUCGUCAAGCUCAGAGGGAGUAUGUAAAAGCUAAAGACAAAUCUUCAACUGAAGAAGUGGCAAAGAAGACAAACAAAAGAAGACACGAAAGAGAACGAUAUGCCUCCUGUCGUGAAUUUCGAAUGAAAAAAUUACAGGCUAUGAAAACUCAAUAUGCUGAAAACUAUCAUUACCGUAAACAAAGACUGUUAUCAGCCAAAAAAUAUUACGCAAAUCCUCAUAUUCAAGAAAAAGUAAAAGCCUGCCAGGUGAAGAGAUACCAAAGUGAUCGUCAUUUUCAACAAAAAAUGAGAGACUACAUUAUCAGAAGAUAUACUACGGAUCCCGACUUUCAAAUCAGACAGAAAAAAUAUGUGGUUCAGAAGUACAACACGGAUACCAGCUUUAAAACCAGACAGAAGCAAUACAUAAGAACAAAAUAUGCAUCUGAUCCAAACUACAGGCACAAACAGAAAAAAUCAAUUUAUGCCAGGUAUCACAAUGACUCACAAUUCAGACUGCACCAUAUACAGCGCUGUGCCCAGUACCAGAGACACAAAAUGGCUACCACUGCAUCUUUUGCCAUUUAUAAAAAGUUGUGUGCACAGAGAAUAAAGAAGAAAUACAGACGACUAGUAACACAGUUCCAGCAGGGUCCACAGUCUGAAGCACAGCCCCAGCUUGUAGUGAACAGUGUGAUGCAAGCAGCCACAUUAGCUUUCCGUGAAGCCAUUCAGUUAGGACCCACCCAUGUCUGUACAGUGUGCCACAGAACUCUGUUUCCUAAUCAAGUUAAACAUUGCAAAAGAUCAAAGUAUGUUACUAAUAGUAACAUUGUUGCCACUUGCUUGACAGGAAAAUUUGUCCAUGUUUGUGACAGGGAAUGCUCAGCUAAUUGUACUUUCCCAAAACAAAGAAUGGAAGAGUGGAUUUGCUACAACUGUGACAACCACCUACAAAGAGGCAAGAUGCCAUCCGUCGCAGUAGCAAACAAUUUAGCACUAGCAACCAUUCCAAUUGAACUGAGUCGAUUAAAUGUACUAGAACGACAACUGACUGCUAAAAUUCUCCCGUUUGCAAAAAUCAUUGCAUUACCAAAAGGACAGCAAAGAGCCGUACAUGGGGCUGUUGUUUGUGUACCAUCGGAUGUGGAAACCACAGUAAACUGUCUUCCCAGACCUAACAGUGAAGCCCAGCUCCUGCAGGUACAGCUGAAGAGACACAUCAGAUUCAAAGGUUACCAACACUUCUACACUGUAAACAUGAAGAACGUGUUAGCAGGAUUAUCAAAGCUAAAAGAGAUGCAUUCAGAAUACAAAGAUGUAUCUAUUGAUGAUGAAGCUACUUUUGCUGAUCCCACAAGUAAUCAGAUAAUCGAGACGGAACAUGACACUGCUGAUGCAGAUAUUCAAGAUGCACUGCCCAGAAACUUCGACCAGCAAAUUGUACCAGAAAGAAGAACCACUGAGGAUACAACAGCUGGACUGCUUGAGCCAUGUCAUGAUGUAAACCAACUAAUGGAGCCUGAACAGUCAAAUGAACAGCCCUUACAAGAUAUGGAGAAAGAAAAGGAAGAACUUCGACCUGGUCUUGUUCUAGACACCUGUAUGCAACCACCAGAUAUAGCACAGGACAUUUUAUCAUAUGGUGAAGGAAUAUUUAGCAUUGCACCCGCGCAAGGAAAUAGACCUGUUGGCUUCUUCUCUGUUCCUAAACUUGAAGCCAUGGCCUUUCCUGUCCAGUUCCCAACUGGACAGAACACAUUAGAUGAAGCCAGACAAGUGAAACUUUACCCAAGCAUGUAUUUUAAUACACGGCUGUUCUCUGCAGACACACGGUUUGCAACUGACCAAAGCUACCUAUUCUUUGCACAGUUUGUAACAGAAACACACAUGGCUACAAACAGCAUGUCCAUCCAAUUGCGCAAAGGAAAGGCAAUCACCAAGGAUGGGCGUAAAAUUUCUAACAGAAUGCUUCAAAAUAAAGACGAAGUGGAGAAACUGAUAAAUAACAAAGACGCAACACGCUUCAUGAAACCUCUGAGAGGUACUCCAGCCUAUUGGGAGAAGGCACUGAAAGACCUACAUGCUAUGGUCAGACAGUUAGGAAAGCCAACUUUUUCCUGACAUUUUCAGCUGCUGAAAUGAGAUGGCCUGAGGUUGUUGAGGUCAUAAAAACUCAACAAGGUGAACAGGUGGAUUUUUCACAACUUGACUGGAACACAAAGUGUGAAAUUCUCCGAAGCAACCCUGUGACUGUGAUGCGAUUGUUUGAAAAAAGAGUCGAUGCACUAAUGACAACACUGAUCCUGUCCCCAGCACAGCCCAUCGGUGAAGUAGAAGAUUACUUUUAUCGAGUGGAGUUUCAGGCCAGAGGUAGCCCUCAUAUCCAUUUACUGGUUUGGGUCAAAGAUGCACCUGAAUUUGGAAGCGACCUUGAAGACCACGUGUACAAAUUUAUUGACAAGUACAUAACAUGUAAGAUGCCUGACCAAAAUGCCGAUCCUGAACUUCACAAAAUUGUGUCUGAGGUUCAAGUCCACAGCAGAAAUCACUCCAGAUCCUGUAAAAAAGGUAAUGUGUCAUGUAGGUUUGGCUUCCCCAAACUACCCGUAGAUCAAACAAUGAUCACUUUCCCAAGCCCAGAUGAUGAUGAUGAUCACAAUGAUAAGCAGCAUAGCACAAGUAAGGAGAAAGGCACAAAUGAAAAGCAAAAGAACAGACGAAUGGCUCUCGCAAAAAAAUGAAAGAGGCCAAAGAAAAACUCCAGCCAUUGAGAGAUUUGCUCUGCGACCCAAAUUCCUCGUUUGAAGACUUGUCUGAGCUGCUUCACAAAUGCAAAUUAACUUAUGAACAAUACUUGGAUUGUGUCUUCAAUUUAACCAAUAGUCAUGUCAUCCUCUUAAAGCGUGAACCUAAUGACUGCUGGGUGAAUGCAUACAAUGCAGAUCUGCUGAGGGCCUGGAAUGCCAACAUGGACAUCCAAUAUGUCAUUGAUGACUACAGCUGCCUGAUGUACAUGAUGUCUUAUGUCUCUAAACCCGAAUUUGAGAUGACACAAUUUCUUAAUGGAGUCAUCCAGGAAGUAAAAAAGUCCAGUGUCAAUGAAAGAGAUGAAAUGAAACAGAUAAUGCAGGCAUAUGCUAAACACAGAGAAGUCAGUGCCCAAGAAUCCGUGGCAAGGACAUGCAGCCUGCCACUAAAAAAGUGUUCACGCAGUGUGGUCUUCAUACAGACUGAUGAUGAUGCCCUGAAAAUGAGUCUCCCGAUGAGCAGGUUGCAGAGCAUGGCACCAGAUGAUGAAAAUGUGUGGAUGUCCGGAUUGCCAGAAAAAUAUGCAAACAGACCCAGAACACCUGACUUUGAAAGAAUGUGUUUGGGUGAAUUUGCUUCAGAGUACAGGAUUCUCUACGGCCGUCAAACAGAGUCCAAAAAUGCCAUCCGUCUUUUGAAUAACAUGGGUUAUAUUCAAAAAAGAACAAAAGGGAAACCUGCAAUAAUCAGAUAUCCUCGGUUCUCAGAAAAGAAACAACCAGAAAAGUUUUAUAGCAGACUGCUAAAACUUUAUUAUCCACAUCGAUCAAAUGAUGACCUUAAAAACACAGAAUACCCCACAUCCGAGCAGUUCUACAAAAGUGGACGAAAACAUGGUUAUGCAGUACGGCCAAUUGUUACCUUUAACAAAAAGCGAUAUGAAGGCCAUGGCAAAACAAUGGAAAGGGCACUGGAACAGAUUGAACAACAAGGCCCACUUAUCAAUGCAUGGAACACCUUUGCACCUGAGGUUGAAGUAGAUCGUUUAGAGUGUGUGGCCCAACGACAAUCCAGACAUGACACUGGCGAAAAUGAAAUGGACAUUGUUCCUGACUACCAAGUCAGUGGUAGCAGCAGUGGAACCAUGCCAGCAAUCAUAGCACCAAAGCUGAGCCCAGACUUUGUCAGAAAAAUGUACCAAAGUCUGAAUGAAACCCAAGCAUCCAUAUUCUACGCAGUGCGUGAGUGGUGUUUCAAACUUGUGUGGGGUCACUGUCCUGAGCAGUUCUUUUAUUUUGUCUCUGGAGGAGCUGGCUGUGGAAAAUCACAUGUUAUCAAGUGCAUAUAUGAGGAGGCAACAAAGAUUUUGCACCAACUCCCCAGAUUCCGAGACCAAGCAGACAUGUCCUACCCUGCAGUACUGCUGACUGCAUUUACUGGCACUGCAGCUUUUAACAUAUCUGGGAAAACACUGCACUCUCUGCUAAAGCUGCCAAGAUCUUUAAAACCGCCUUAUCAGGGACUGGGGAAUGCACUGGAUGAAGUGAGAGCUUCACUUUCAAAUGCAGAGAUUCUGAUCAUUGAUGAGAUAUCUAUGGUUUCUAAAGACCUUUUUGCCUACAUCCACUGGAGACUUCAGCAGAUCAAAGGAAACAAGAAACCUUUUGGUGGGAUGUCUAUCCUUGCAGUAGGAGACUUUUACCAGCUGCCACCCCUUGGAAAAGCCAAACCACUCUGUGUGUAUGAGGACAAUGUCCUUGAUCUCUGGAAAGACUAUUUCCACAUGGUCAACCUGACAGAAAUCAUGCGACAGAAAGAUGAUCAUUCUUUUGCUGAAGUUCUGAACAGGAUAAGAGUGAAGCAAAAAACAGAUUCUCUUGAAGCCGAUGACAAAGCCUUGCUCACACAGGCUAUCCAUGACAUAAAAGACUGUCCAUCUAAUGUAUUACACAUUUAUGCUACAAACAAAGAGGUCGACAAACACAAUUCAGCAACUGUAACUGCUCUUCAUUCUGAUAUCAUAAAUAUUCAGGCAGAAGACUACAGAAAAGACCCACGAACGGGUGACAUGGUCCUCCUGGCAGAAAUGAUGAAAGGCAACAAAGGAGAUUUACCUGAUAACAUACAAGCUGCACCUGGAGUGCGUGUUAUGAUUAUCAGAAAUUUGGAUGUUGAAGAUGGGCUUGUUAAUGGGACAUUUGGAACAAUCACGAACAUUGUGACAGCCACACAGGAUGGACCAAAAACUGUGAAUCUCAUUGGACUCACGCUGGACAAUGAAAAUUCUGGGCAAAAAUUUCGCAGAAAAAUACAAGGAUCCUCAGACAAUCUUGUGUAUAUUGAGAAAUGUGAAGAAUGCACAAGUAAAAAAGGAGUGGUUCGCAGGCAAUUUCCAAUGAAGUUGGCCUUUGCAUGUACAGCUCACAAAGUACAAGGCAUGACAAUGGAAUCAGCAGUAGUAUGCUUGAAGCGUGUUUUGAACCUGGAAUGGCCUAUGUUGCACUCAGCCGCACAACCUCACUUAAAGGACUGUACAUCACAGACUUUGAUGAAAAGAAAAUCUAUGCUGAUCCUGCCAUCACAGAUGCACUCAAAAAUAUGAGACAUGCAUCAUUUGAGAAUGCAAGACCACUGUUGCAAUUCUUAAAAUCAGUAGAUCCCACAGUCCCCACGUUGACAAUUAUCCAUCAUAAUGCACAAGGUCUCCCAACUCACAUGGAGGACAUGAGAUGCCACCAUGAACUCAGCCUUGCUGAUGUUUUAUGUAUAACAGAAACACACUUGUCUGGAUCAUCGGUUUCUCCCCGCUUCCAGCUGGAACAAUACAACAUGGCCACACGCAACAGACACGUCUCUUACACAAAUCAUACAGACAUGGCAAAGGUAAAUGGCGGUGGAGUUGCAAUUUACUACAACACAAUUCUUACAGCAGAGUCCCGAAAAUACCUGCAAAAUGUGACUGACCUUGAAUUUGUUGUUGUCAAGGUUGAAUCGCCAGUCACAGCUUUGAUAGCAACUGUAUACAGGCCACCAAAUUACAGCCAUGUGAGGUUUUUACCACAAAUGCAAUGUCUUUUGGACUCGUUGGAAAUGAUGAAUCACCAACCAAUUAUUGUUUGUGGAGACUUCAAUGAGGACCUUAUGAGCAGAGGAAAAAAACCCAUCCAAGAACUGUUGCAGUCAAGAGGAUAUGCACAACUGAUUACUGCUGCAACUACCGAAAAACACACAUUGAUUGAUCACAUUUACAUAUCACAGCCAUACGCCUGCCUCCAAUCAGGUGUUCUGAAUACAUAUCACAGUUAUCAUAACCCCAUUUAUUGUGUUAUUCACUAACACAAAAUGACUGCAAGGGUAUGAGGGAUAUGGACUUGCCAAGUGUCACUCCCUAUUGGCCUACUCUCGCCUAAAAGUCAUACAGAUGGACCUAAAUAUGGAUAUCAGCAUCUACAACAAGAAGUACAGGAGCUGUGACCAUCUGGGUCUGCUUGCUGCUGGCAUUUUGCCAGAGCCCCAGCAACAAGACCGCCUCCCAGCUACGAGACUGCCUGUAAGCCUUGCAAGGUACCCAAUUUUCCAAUUACUCUAUAACAAAACUGUUGUGGGCAACAAGACUGUCUCCUAGGUGUGCAAGCCAAUCACUUUGCCAAAUGUUCUUGUAAGAUUUGUUUGGAAAGUUUAAGGUGUUAAGUAGGAGCUGUGAACAUCUGGGUUUGCUUGCUGCUGGCAUUCUACCA